rnacentral:rRNA from 1 species
GACGAACGCUGGCGGUGUGCUUAACACAUGCAAGUCGAACGGAAAGGCCCUGCUUUUGUGGGGUGCUCGAGUGGCGAACGGGUGAGUAACACGUGAGUAACCUGCCCUUGACUUUGGGAUAACUUCAGGAAGCUGGGGCUAAUACCGGAUAGGAGCUCCUGCUGCAUGGUGGGGGUUGGAAAGUUUCGGCGGUUGGGGAUGGACUCGCGGCUUAUCAGCUUGUUGGUGGGGUAGUGGCUUACCAAGGCUUUGACGGGUAGCCGGCCUGAGAGGGUGACCGGCCACAUUGGGACUGAGAUACGGCCCAGACUCCUACGGGAGGCAGCAGUGGGGAAUAUUGCACAAUGGGCGGAAGCCUGAUGCAGCAACGCCGCGUGCGGGAUGACGGCCUUCGGGUUGUAAACCGCUUUCGCCUGUGACGAAGCGUGAGUGACGGUAAUGGGUAAAGAAGCACCGGCUAACUACGUG